rnacentral:lncRNA from 1 species
AGAUGUUCAUCAACAUGUCUUGUGAUAGUAUCAAAUUGAACUCCUCCCUCUAUUACAACACCAUUAACAAAGUUGAACUGAAAAAAAUAAAAAGAUAGUGAGUUGCAAAACAAACGCAGCCGAUAGAGAAUAUAGCCUACAUAACUUUGACUGGGAACACAAACCUGUUGGUAUUGGCCAUUUCUGGUUAAAGUAAUACACACCUCCCCAGCAAAGGCUAACUUUUGUUAUAGACUGAAAUAAAAUACAAGAGUAAAUAGUUAAAAAACAAACAUAUGGUUUUGUUUAUCCUAAAUGAAACUUAUGUUUUUAUGAAAAUUUUAAACCUUUUUGAUGUCUUCUUGGAAGGAGAUGGCAGGUACAAAUCCACAUAACUUGAAAAAUUAUUAGUGAGCAAAUGGCCAUCUAGAUGAACCUUUAGUUUGUGGUUGUUUCUUCUUUUGUAAAGUGCA